CAGCUAGAGAUAGCUGUGUCCUUCGGGACGAAGGAGACAGGUGGUGCAUGGUUGUCGUCAGCUCGUGUCGUGAGAUGUUGGGUUAAGUCCCGCAACGAGCGCAACCCUCGACCUUAGUUGCCAGCAUUCAGUUGGGCACUCUAAGGUGACUGCCGGCUAAAAGUCGGAGGAAGGUGGGGAUGACGUCAAAUCAUCAUGCCCCUUAUGACCUGGGCUACACACGUGCUACAAUGGGCGGUACAAAGGGUCGCGAACCCGCGAGGGGGAGCCAAUCCCAAAAAGCCGCUCUCAGUUCGGAUUGCAGGCUGCAACUCGCCUGCAUGAAGCCGGAAUCGCUAGUAAUCGCGGAUCAGCAUGCCGCGGUGAAUACGUUCCCGGGCCUU
rnacentral:rRNA from 1 species